GGCCAGACUCCUACGGGAGGCAGCAGUGGGGGAUAUUGCACAAUGGGGGGAACCCUGAUGCAGCGACGCCGCGUGGGUGAAGAAGCGCCUCGGCGCGUAAAGCCCUGUCAGCAGGGAAGAAAAUGACGGUACCUGAAGAAGAAGCCCCGGCUAACUACGUGCCAGCAGCCGCGGUAAUACGUAGGGGGCAAGCGUUAUCCGGAUUUACUGGGCGUAAAGGGGGCGCAGACGGCGAUGCAAGCCAGGAGUGAAAGCCCGGGGCCCAACCCCGGGACUGCUCUUGGAACUGCGUGGCUGGAGUGCAGGAGGGGCAGGCGGAAUUCCUGGUGUAGCGGUGAAAUGCGUAGAUAUCAGGAGGAACACCGGUGGCGAAGGCGGCCUGCUGGACGGCAACUGACGUUGAGGCCCGAAAGCGUGGGGAGCAAACAGGAUUAGAUACCCCAGUAGAA
rnacentral:rRNA from 1 species